ensembl:lncRNA
UUAAAAUGUUUCGCAGAUAAAACCUACACUUGGAAGCUUUAUUUUUAGGAGUGUACUUUGGUAGAGAGGUUCUUCACAUGAGAAGAUCCUCACUCACAGUGGAGCUGCAUUUGCACAGCCUGACUGCAGACAGGUUUCCCAAGGUGUUUUACCCCAGCUUUAAUCUAUAUUAAAUGAUUUAGUUUCACAAGAUGAAAGCCUGUUGUUUGUUUAACAAAACUUUCCCAGGUACAGUCACUGCCUGAAGCCUGCCAAAGGUUGAAGAUACAGAGAGAGAGCGAGAGAGUUUGCACAACCCAAACAAUGUUCUUCAGGCGUUCUAGAAAUUGGAAUCAGUGCUGCUCGUUCUUAUAUAUUAAACAUAUGUAAGCAUAUAUAGAAGCAUUACUGUAUUCAAACCUGCCUACGAGGGGCAAAUUUAUCAGCAAGUCCUCAGCGUUCUUGACGGGUCAAAGGGACCUUUUCAUUAGCCGUAAUGCUGGGAAGAGAUCUGCCGUAGUGUGGGAGAUGGAAUAAUUGUUUGGAAUGGGGAUUCUCAGUGGACUCUUCUGAGCUUGUCAGCUGGUGUUUGAAGUGUGCUCUGACAUUGGGAAAGGGGUUGAGCAGGAAACAGGCUCUCAAAUGGAAAAGGGAGGAGAGCGAAAGAGAACAGAAGAGGAAAGACAAAGGUGACUUCACAGAACUUAGACUAAGCUUAAGAACCUCAAGGACCCGGAAAAAAGACCUUGAGAUUUCCACUGGCUCAUCACUUAUUCUACACUCAGGAGGGCUCUACCUUUACCAUGCUGGAGAGAAGCGGCAUCUCUGA